UGCCUCAGUAACGGCGAGUGAAGCGGCAACAGCUCAAAUUUGAAAUCUGGCCUCUGGCCCGAGUUGUAAUUUGCAGAGGAUGUUUCUGGCGAGGUGCCUUCCGAGUUCCCUGGAACGGGACGCCAUAGAGGGUGAGAGCCCCGUACGGUUGGUCGCUAAGCCUCUGUGAAACUCCUUCGACGAGUCGAGUAGUUUGGGAAUGCUGCUCUAAAUGGGAGGUGUACGCCUUCUUAAGCUAAAUACCGGCUAGAGACCGAUAGCGCACAAGUAGAGUGAUCGAAAGAUGAAAAGCACUUUGAAAAGAGGGUUAAAAAGUACGUGAAAUUGUUGAAAGGGAAGCGCUCUUGACCAGACUUGCGCCGGUUGAUCAUCCGCCGUUCUCGGUGGUGCACUCUGCCGGCUCAGGCCAGCAUCAGUUCGGUCCGGGGGAUAAAGGCUUCGGGAAUGUGGCUCUCUCCGGGGAGUGUUAUAGCCCGUUGCGUAAUACCCUGGGCUGGACUGAGGUUCGCGCAUCUGCAUGGAUGCUGGCGUAAUGGUUAUCAGUGACCCGUCUUGAAACACGGACCAAGGAGUCGUCUUCGUAUGCGAGUGUUCGGGUGUCAAACCCCUACGCGUAAUGAAAGUGAACGUACGAGAGAGCUUCGGCGCAUCUCCGACCGAUCCUGAUGUUCUCGGAUG
rnacentral:rRNA from 1 species